rnacentral:rRNA from 1 species
AGUGAACGCUGGCGGUAGGCCUAGCACAUGCAAGUCGAACGGCAGCACAGUAAGAGCUUGCUCUUACGGGUGGCGAGUGGCGGACGGGUGAGGAAUACAUCGGAAUCUACUUUUUCGUGGGGGAUAACGUAGGGAAACUUACGCUAAUACCGCAUACGACCUACGGGUGAAAGCAGGGGAUCUUCGGACCUUGCGCGAUUGAAUGAGCCGAUGUCGGAUUAGCUAGUUGGCGGGGUAAAGGCCCACCAAGGCGACGAUCCGUAGCUGGUCUGAGAGGAUGAUCAGCCACACUGGAACUGAGACACGGUCCAGACUCCUACGGGAGGCAGCAGUGGGGAAUAUUGGACAAUGGGCGCAAGCCUGAUCCAGCCACACCGCGUGGGUGAAGAAGGCCUUCGGGUUGUAAAGCCCUUUUGUUGGGAAAGAAAAGCAGCAGGUUAAUACCCCGCUGUUCUGACGGUACCCAAAGAAUAAGCACCGGCUAACUUCGUG